CGCCGGAACCUCUCCAUACGAAUUCUCCUCUCAUCGACGCAACAUCUUCUUUGGAGAGUUCACCGGAAACACAACUCUAACCCUAGAUCUUACAGUCAAUCCUUUCCGAUCACUUCUCUGUACUAAACACUCCUCCAUUUCACUGAGUAUAUAGCUUUUCAAAAAAGAUUGGAGACAUACUCUCCAAUCUACUCCACCUCUCUUAUUUGUGCUUGUGGAAAUUUCAGUCCUUCUUUCCAAAAUCCAUACUUAACUCUUUCGUUCCUUACAUACGGCUAUUUCGAGAUGUUUUUACCGUUUGCCGACAACCAAAAAACCCUAGAUCGCGAAACUUCAAAAAUGCGACUCCAGAAAAAUAUCAAGUCCUCUGCAGUGAUAAUAUGAUACACUAUCUUGGUUGCUUACAGAAAUUUCUGAAAGACAAAGAAUUGACUCUGCAAAAAUGGUAGGAAAAAAAAAGGAGAAAAAUGGCUGGAAAAAAAUUACACGGAGUUCAUAAGUAUUUAAUAAGUGAAAUUACAAUGAAGAACAUCAGGAAGAGUUGUUAAUAGUUGGACACAUACAGUUAGCAUAUGGUGCUUGGAUCCUACUGUUGUCUUCAGAGAAAUUGCUUAUCGUUCUCCAUCUGAUAUUCCUAACAUCAUGGUUUCAAUGGUGAUGAGAACAACCAAGGGUGUAUACAUAAUUACAUAUUAAGCAGUCUUCCCCAAUCACCCCUCUGGAUCAACCCCUUUCCCAAAUCAAAAGAAAAAUAUAAAUAAAUAUUUACCUUAGUUUAUUGCUAUUUCCUUUAUGCUUGAAUGUAAAAGUGGAGAGGUAAAUGUGAGGUUUCUCUCCAGGAGAUGUGGUAUUUAUAGGUAGUUUCCCUCCAAAAUGUUGAUUUAAAAUAUAUAAUUAUUACUUUUUGGCAACUUGCUUCA